GGAGAGCUGGCAACCCUCACAUCAGCUUCUGAGGCUCGGGGGUUACUUUAUACACAGUCUGCUGCUCCUUCCCUGACUUCUAGCCCUAUGGCUGUUAUUCUGCAAACAAGCUCUACCUUACUCCACGCCAAGGCCAGAGCCUCUGAGUUCCCAGCCAAGGCUUGCCUCUCAUUCUUCCCCAAGAGGACGGACCAGCCGCGCCUGCAAACACAGGCACCCACUAUGAGAACACGGAGGCUCAGAGGUCAAGUCACACAACCCACAUGUCACAUGGCUCCUAAUGGCAAAACCCAGGCCACUCUGCAACCUAAUCCCUUGCUCAUGGCCACCAUGCUACCACCAAAACAGCCCUCCCCGACCUCAAGCAGCCAACUACCAGACCAGAGCCCAGCAAGCAGGAGCGACUUCCACACAUUAAACCCCAAGGAAAGAUGCCACGUUCACUCUGCCCAAUCAAUCCGGACUGAGAUUGUCUUAAAAACCACCCACGGGCUGGAGAGAUGGCUUAGCAACCGGUUAAGCACUUGCCUGUGAAGCCUAAGGACCCCGGUUCGAGGCUCGGUUCCCCAGGUCCCACGUUAGCCAGAUGCACAA